rnacentral:rRNA from 1 species
GGCUCAGGACGAACGCUGGCGGCGUGCUUAACACAUGCAAGUCUACGAGAACGAGGUAGCAAUAUCUCUAUUAAAGUGGCGCACGGGUGCGUAACACGUAAGCAAUCUACCUUUGGGUCUGGAAUAACUUCGAGGAAUCGGGGCUAAUACCGGAUAAUGCAGCGGCACCGCAUGGUGAUGUUGUUAAAGUUUAAGUAAUGCCUUUAGAUGAGCUUGCGUCUGAUUAGCUAGUUGGUAGAGUAAUAGCCUACCAAGGCAACGAUCAGUAGCUGGUCUGAGAGGAUGAUCAGCCACACUGGAACUGAGACACGGUCCAGACUCCUACGGGAGGCAGCAGUGAGGAAUAUUGGGCAAUGCCCGCAAGGGUGACCCAGCAACGCCGCGUGGAGGAUGAAGGCCGUAAGGUUGUAAACUCCUGUUAGAGGAGAAGAAUAGUACCGAUUGGAUCGGUAUUUGACUGUACCCUCAGAGAAAGCCCCGGCUAACUACGUGCCAGCAGCCGCGGUAAUACGUAGGGGGCAAGCGUUGUCCGGAUUUACUGGGUGUAGAGGGCGCGCAGGCGGGAUAGCAAGUCAGAGGUGAAAUCCUACAGCUUAACUGUAGAACUGCCUUUGAUACUGUUAUUCUUGAGUUCGGGAGAGAGAGACGGAAUUCCAGGUGUAGUGGUGAAAUACGUAGAUAUCUGGAAGAACACCAGUUGCGAAGGCGGUCUCUUGGUCCGAUACUGACGCUGAGGCGCGAAAGCGUGGGGAGCAAACAGGAUUAGAUACCCUGGUAGUCCACGCUGUAAACGAUGAAUACUAUGUGUUGGGUUUUUAACUCAGUGCCGCAGCUAACGCAUUAAGUAUUCCACCUG